rnacentral:lncRNA from 1 species
UUUACAGAAAUGUACAGAUGUUCUUCCAGAGUUAGCAAGACGUUUUGAAACUUUGAUAACAGAUGAAGACUAUCCAUGGCUAGAUAGAUGGGUUCACAGAAAUGGGGUUGACUUAUUUAACUAUUUAAUAGAAUCUUACAAGUAAGUAAUUUUGUUGUGAAUUUUAUUGCUUGUAAAAAGUCAAAUAUAUAUAUUCAAAUAAUUAUAGUUCUUUGACAAUGUUUUUCCUAUGUUUUGUUCAUACAUGUAUUUUGAUUUCUUGUUUAUAGGAAUUUACAAAAUUUCAACCCUAUCAUAUAUCCUUCCUGUUAUUAUUGGAAUAGUAAAUAUGGUUUAUAAGGUACUAAAUUUUGAUGCAAAUAUAAGUUAAUGCUGUUGUGAUAUGAUGUUGUCAUUUUCCUUUUCUCAAUUAAAUAGUUCCUCUGCGAUUUAAUACCGUCGUUCUAAUAAACCAGAGGCAUGAAACAUACAAUAGGUCAGCUUUGGCAAAAAUUACGACUUGCAGAUAAAAAUAUUAAAACUAUUUAAUUAUCAAUUAAAUUAUGGAGAAAAGUGUUUUAAUGCUAUCAAUCUUGUUGAAAUGGUAUAUUGUGACUUCUUUUAUGGUUAUGGCCUGUAAUAUACUGUAAAAGCUGAAAUUUUCGUGGAGGAUUUAAUUUCGUUUAUUUCGUUGAAAUUUUAUAUCCAAGAAAUUAUAACCCCCACAAAUAUUUAACCUACAUAUAAUAUCAGAUGUAUUUACUGGAAACCACGAAAUUAAAUCCACAUGAAAUCUUAUAUAGAGACAAAACCAUGAAAUUUUAACCUCGCGAAAAUUAAUGUUUCUACAGUAUUUCUUGCAUGAAGAGAUAUUUCUCAUUUCACACUGCUAGGCGUGUGAUACAAAAAGAUGAAGCAAAAAAUAAGUUUAAUUUGAAUGGCUUAUCCAGCAUCAAAUAACAUUUCUGUUGUCUAUUUGUUAGGCCAUUGACAAAUUUCAAAGGUUAUGGAAGUGUACAUUAUGCCCAUGGCAUUUCUUCAAUAAUAUGCAAAAGUCACACACUUUUCAUCUAAAUUUUUCUUUUUUGUCAAAUUUCAUUACACUCCGAAGCAUAUGUAAAGUUUUAAAAUGUCUGAUGUUUAAUGUUAUACUGCAUUCAAAGAACAAGAUCAACAAUGCAUGGAUUAUGUAACACAAUGAGAAUGUUUACCAUAAGAGAAAUAGGUUUAACAACUGGUGAUAAUUGGAUACGGCUUGAUAUUAACUGGCAAUACUGGUUUAUUGUUAUAUAGAAAUUACAAUAACUUAAGUUGAUAUCCCAUUGUCACAUGUAAUGGAACCUAUGAAUAUUGUGAUCACCGUUAAAAAAUAUAAUUGAUUACCUGAUGGAGUAUCCUCCACUAUUACUGAAAAAUGAUUAAUUUGACAAAAGAUCAAUAGAAAACUUAGCAUACUGAGUUUGUUAUAUAUUUUUUUUUUUAGCAGUUUGAAUCUGCUCCAGUAGGAUCUGGGAACCUUGCCCUAUGAUUUUUCUUUGGCAUUCCAAAAAAGAUUUAGAGGCUUUAUUAUAGCUGAAGUUGACAUUUCUUUCAUUGUAACGUUUAGAUAACGAUUUAGGGUCACAAAAGGCAUCUUACAAUCAAUUAGAUCCCUGAAAUAUGUUAUAUUUACUUCCCAAAUAUACCACUGUUCGGUUUUCUGGUCUAUGCCUCCGUUCGUCCGUCCGUCUGUGCGUUCGUUCGUCCGUCCGUCUGUGCUUCAGGUUAAAGUUUUUGGUCAAGGUAGUUUUUGAAGAAGUUGAAGUCUAAUCAACUUGAAAUUUAGUUCACAUGUUCCCUAUGAUAUGAUCUUUCUAAUUUUAAUUCCAAAUUAAAGUGGGGCAUCCGUGUACUUGGGACACAUUCUUGUUUGUAAUUUUUGUUGAAACAUGAAACAAAGAUUAUUUCGACACCUUGAAAAUUAAAUGCUCUUUUAACUGUAUGUCUGUCGACCAAGAUUGUUUACUGGAGAUCCUGACUUGUAUUUUCAGAUCCUCAGAAGAUAUACCAGAUGAAGUAAACCAGAUUAUAAUCAGAAUUCUUAGUUUUUGUAUGGAGGAUGGGAGAGAAUUGGUCAAUUUAGAGGAUGGGUCAGAUACUGUUUGGGGAAAUUUAAUUCGUAAUUCACCUUCAUUAGUGAGCAAGGUAUGGAGUAAAUGAUUUUAAGUUUAAAGUGAAUAAUAAGUAUGAUAAAUACAGAUACCAAUAAAUGAGCUUAAUUUAGAGUCAAUUUAGUAUACAAAAACAAGGACAUAACAUAACAUUAGCGCUAUUUAGCUUUUACGGUGGUACAUAACACCACAGGGUGAUAACUCUGUAAAAAUCAGCUGAAUGUUUCAAUUACAUUCUAUUGUUUUUAUAUUUAUACCCCCGCUUUAAAAAAGGGGGGGUAUACUGUUUUUUAUACCCCCGCUUUAAAACCCCCGCUUUAAAAAAGGGGGGGUAUACUGUUUUACCUCUGUCUGUCAGUCUGUCCGUCCGUCCGUCCGUCCAUCAGUCCGUCCGUCAGUCCGUCCGUCAGUCCGUCUGUCAGUCAGUCAGUCCGUCCCAUGAAACUUUCGUCACAUUUUUCUCAGGAACUACACAUCCACCCUUUCUGUAAUUUGGUAUCAACAUUUAUAUAUGUCAGCCACACAGUGUGAUGCGUUUUCAGAUUCAUCACUUGACAACUUCCUGUUUACCGAACACUUGUCUGAUUUUACACAUGAUAGCCAGGUUGAAAAUUUUCAUCACAUUUUUCUCAGGAACUACAAUACAAGGAUUUCUGAAAUUUGGUUUCAAGAUUUAUAUAAGUCAGCUAUACUGUGUGAUGCGUUUUCAGAUUCAUCACUCGACAACUUCCUGUUUACAGAACACUUGUAUGAUUUUACACAUGAUAGCCAAGUUGAAAAUUUUCGUCACAUUUUUCUCAGGAACUACAAUACAAGGAUUUCUGAAAUUUGGUUUCAGGAUUUAUAUAAGUCAGCUAUACCGUGUGAUGCGUUUUCAGAUUCAUCAUUCGACUACUUCCUGUUUACCGAACACUUGUAUGAUUUUACACAUGAUAACCAAGUUAAAAAUUUUCGUCACAUUUUUCUCAGCUACAAUACAAGGAUUUCUGAAAUUUGGUUUUCAGGAUUUUUAUAAGUCAGCUAUACCGUGUGAUGCGUUUUCAGAUUCAUCACUCGACAACUUCCUGUUUACCGAACACUUGCAUCUUUUUACACUAUUAAUAUUAUCCACUUGCGGCGGGGGUAUCAUCAGUGAGCAGUAGCUCGCAGUUUCACUUGUUUUGUCAUAUGGUCAAAGUUAACAUUUUUUCAGACUUUUUGAAUAUUAAACGAGCCAAAUUAAUUUUAGUACUGUAAAGGUUUUUUGGUACCACCUUAAAAUAUAUGAAGUUAUAGUAUUUGUUUUCUUCUUUUGAAAGUUAUUAAAUUAGUGCAGUUUUUACAUAUUCAUAGCUUUAUUGUCACUGUCAGUAAGUGAGAUGUUAUUUGUGCCAAUUCUUCUCAAGAAUUACAAAUUAGAUCAUAAAGCUUUAUGUGAACAUACUAUACAUUGUGUCAUGUGUUUUCACAUUCAUUACUUGUCAAUUUUCUGUUUUCCAAAUACUUAUAUGACUUAUAUAUAUUCCUACACAUAAUAACCAUGAAUGAAAUGUUCAUCACAUUUUUCUUGUGAACUGCAUAUUAAAGCUUUUUAAGAAAUUUAAUUUUGCUUUGUGACAUUUGACCCCCCUUCCAAUAUUUUAUUUUCAGCAGUGCUUUUUAAUAAGCAUUUGAAUGAUGAACUUUGUUAGCACAUAAUAUUAUUGUUUGUUUUUAGCAUUGCAAUGGUGGUACUGGUAAAGUUGUGAUACCUGUUUUAGAGAAAUUGCUCAAAUAUCGUCAUUCAGAUGAGGAAUUCCUGCAAGGAUCCUGCACAAAUUCAAUGCAAAUAGCUGGUCACAAUUGUCCUGAAAUAUGUGCUGAUUUUUUUGGACCAUUGUUGGAUUGGUAUAUUGAAGAACCAUCAAUGAAUUUAAUGAGUAUGUUAUUUCACUCUGAAUAGUUUACUUUAUUUAAAGACUUUGUACACCUGUACAUAGGUAAAGUCAGGCGUCAAACAGUCAUUUUGGCUACCGUUAGCGUCAAAAUAUCCUUAUUGUGAUUCGUCAGAGGUUUCAAAUAAUUAUCGUUACAGUCAUUUUUGGAAAAAAAGUAAUAUGAUUCGUCAAAAUCAGUUGAUGUUUUAUCCUCUAAAAGAAAGUGUACAUUUUAUCGUCAUACUCCAAAAAUUACCGUUAACGUCAUUUGGCAAGAAUUUUUACCGUUAUUUGUCAUGAAGGUAUCCCCAUUACGACCCUCGUACACAUGACCAUUUGAAAAAGUCCUUGUUUGUCAUAUUCAGUAAUUUUAAUAUCAAUAGCAAAUAUACAUAGAAUGAAAUUCAAAACAGUGUGGCUGUGGCCAUUGAUUGACACAUUAAAUUCAUCCAUUGACUGGGACAAUUUAGUGUGAACGUUUGUAUGUGACGACCACUGCUUACUAUGUACUUUUUAAAGACACUUAAACUAUGGGGUCACAAAGGUUCUCAACACCUUAAUAAAGUAAUUCGAAAAAUUAAUGAGAAAUAACACGAUGUUUUGAUUUAUAUCAAUUAUAUAAAUCAAAACAUAAAGGUUAUUCCUGAUUAUUUGUUCGAAUUAUUUUAUAAUUAAAGGCGUUAAGAAACCUUUGGUAACCCCACAGUUUAAAUGUCUAUCGUAGGUACGUCGUGAACAGUGGUCGUUACAGACAAAACGUUCACGUAAAUUGUCCCAGUCAAUGGAUGAAUUUAAUGUGUCAAUCAAUGGCCACAGCCACACUGUUUUGAAUUUCAUUCUAUUAAGUUUUCAUUGAAACCCUAUAGAAAAACACUUUAUUUAAGGAACUGAUAGCUUCAUUGAGUACCAUGCUAUUUUAACAUCUGGCAUUGCUGCAACUUAGUCAAUAUGAUGUUUAAAUACCUGAGAAGAGAAAUACAGGCUGCUAUAAGUCUCUAAAUGUUUAUAUCAAUGUGAAUCAAUAUAUAGUUAAAACACAAAAUUGUUAUUAAGUAUGCAUAUUGCUGUAUCUUAUAUUGGAAGAAAAAGUUUGGCAUUUUAAAUUCUGUCAUGCAACAUAAUAAUGGAAAGCCAUCCCUCGUCUUAUGCUAUACAAGAUGUUUUUUUCUUUUCAGGUUUUUUUUAUAGAGUUGUUGAACUUAAUCCUGAUGCCUUGAAAAGCAGAAUGGAUAAAUUCCUUGAUACCUGUAAAAAUGACAAAGAUACAUGGUCUCUUCAGAUCCAAGUAUUUUUUGCUCUGUCAAAUAAAUAUCCAGAGGUAUGUUAGAAGUAUUGCUUCAAAUGUUUUUAUUUUAAUAUGGACACAUACAUGUAGGAAUAGUAUUUAUAUGAAAUGAAAAUAUUUUUGGUUUAAAAAUUUGAAAUUAAUUAAAUUAAUUCAAGACUGAUGUGUUUUAAAUUCUUGAUAAGCCAAUAUGCAGUGUCUAAAAUGUCCAAGGACAGAAGACAAAAUCCUUUACAAGAAGAUUAUGACAAAGGUUGAUUUGAAGUUACUGAUGAGUCUUUAAUGAAAUGUGCAUCUGGUGUACAAAAUGUCAAUUCUGGUAUCUAUAAUGAAUUUAUUUAGCCAGUUAACUGUCUCCCCAAUUGUAUAUUUAACACUGAUAUAUUUCACUAUAAAAAUGUAUUCCAGGAAUUAAAGGGUAUAUCUCACUAUAAAAUGUUUUACACUGUUUUUGAGUUUUUUUUAUUGGACUUAACAAAUAAUAGUGGUUUCUGAUAACUUUAUAUUUUAUUUGUCAGAAAUAGAUUUAUAAUAACAAUUAUAUAUUAUAAUAGUGUUUAUCUUCUGUCUUGGUUCUAGUUGCUAAAAGGUGGUAGAAAUACCAUAUCAUGUUAUCUUUAGGAUUGUCUUUGUAAUUUAUUUAAAUUUUUGGUCUUCACAAUAGAUGAUAACUCAGAAAGUGGCAGACACGUUAAUGAACUAUCAUUAUAGUGAUAGCAAUAGCAGAAUACAAGUCCUGAUGAUUAUGGAGAAAGCCACUAAAGUCAACCCAAGCAUUUUUGAAAAAUAUAUGGACAAGUUGAUUGGCGACAAAUCAGUUGCACCAAUGGAACAGCAUUUUGUGAAUAAUACAAUCGUGAAUGUGGCCAAGGAAAUUAAGGUUUGUAAUUUGUCAUUUGAUCCUAAAAACAGUCAAGAUAUAAAAAAAAACGUCAAUUUGCAUUUAUAUUGUCUUUGCUCUGUUAUCAAUAUUUGAUACAUUAUAUAAAAGUAAGGAGAUUUUGUUUAGGGGCCAGCUAUGGCCCACCUCUAGGUGUGGAAUUUUCUUGCUGCAUUGAAGACCCAUUGGUGGCCUUUGGCUGUUAUUUGAUCUUUGGUCGGGUUGUUGUCUCUUUGACACAUUCCAAUUAUCAGUUCUAUUGGUAUGAUUGCAAAUGAGACAAUUAUCCACCAGAGGUAAAAUGGUAUGGACAUAUAAGCAAUAAAAAGCCACUGUACAGCUGCUGCCUUCAACAAUAAGCAAUAACUGUACUAAAUAGUCAGCUAUAAAAGGCCCCAACAUGAAAAAUGUGAAACAAUUCAAAUGAGAAAACUAUCAUCCUAAUUUAAAACAAAACAAUUAUGGUAGACAAGAAACAACUGCAACCACAACUAAAGUCUCCUGACUUGAAACUGUCACAUAAAGAAUGUGCAGGGUCAAACAUUUUGUGAGCACUCAACCCUCCCCUAACCUGGAAUAGUGGUGGUACAGCCUAACAUAGAACAAACUAUAAAAAUCAGUGACAAUUGGCUUAGAUCAAAAGAUUGGUAUGAGGCAUAAAAACUACUAACAAAAAACAAUAGACACAAAACACUGAAAAAAGAGUACUCACAGUUACUGAAAGCUAGCGAAAGCCAAUUAUAAAUUCGGAAAAGAUGCAUUUUGACUGAUUUUAAGGAUUAGCUUGAAAGCGAGUUCAUGGACCCCUCUUUUUGAAAAUGAAAAUACAUUAUCCAUGAAAGUACAAAUUUUCCCUACUUGAAAAAAUAUCGUGUCUGCACUGAUAUUUGGCACAGCUGUAAUGCUGGAGUCUUGGUCUUUUAAGUACAUUAAUUAUUUUUAUCAAUUGAUCAGUUUGGUAUAAAGAUGCUUCAAACUUUUUUUUAUCUUGUCACAGAGACAAGUCUGCAUAUCUUACAGUCAAGUAACAGAUUAAGGAUUACAUUUUAAUAUUGUUUUGCUCUGUAAUCGUAUAAAUUGCUAUGGGUAGAUCCAUUUAUAAAUAGCUAGAGAUUGCAAUGUAAAAUGUGUUUUACAGAAAUUCAAAGAUCCUGUAUUCAACUAUCUUAUGAGUGUGUUGAAGGUAGCUACAGAUGUUACUCAGGUCUCAGUAACAUUGAUAGGACUACGGGAUCUGUGUGUGGUCUAUGGACCAGAUAUGUUUGGUCCACAUAUGGACUAUCUUACACAAAGAAAACAGAAUGAGCAAAGUACAACUAUUCAACAACAGAUAGUGGCAUUGAUUGAUCAAAUAGAAGGCAGAAGGUAAGCUUAAGCUAGAAAAAUAAAUGACAAAAAUUUUAUGCAAGUUGUAAGAGGAUAGCCUGGUACAACAACAGCCUUAUUGGCUCCAUUUAUGUCUUAUAUAAAGUUGAUUGAAUUUAGAAUUAGACACAUUAGAUUUGGAUAAAUGACAACACAGAAAAGGCAAUUUGUGAAAAUGGAUAGGGAUGCUGCCUCAAAUUUUUGCAUUUUUUUUUGCUGCCGAGAACAAAUAAAAAAUUAAGCACACGAAAAAACCAGCUAUACAUUGUUUACAUAUACACCUUUUAUGGUUACAUUUUUUUUAGAUACUUUCACGUGCAUAUUCUUGCUAUUGAUAUUUCAAUGUAUAAUUUACAACUUCAGUUUGGAAACAGUAGCCCAAGAUGUGAAGGAAACUCAGGAGGAUGUGGACCAAUUAGAUGAAAGAGUGACCGGUACAGAGGGGGCUGUAGUAGGGCUGACCACUCGAAUUGAUGAACAUGAUGAAAACAUUGAAGAAUUAGGGGAGGGGCUUGAUACUGUCACUCAGAGGGUAGACUUUGCUGAGAAAGAUAUCGAGGAGACUAAAAUUAAAGUGGAAGAAGUUGACAUGAAGGUAUUUAUAUGUGUAUUGAAAUAAGGUUAAAAGCUAACAUUUGAAUAUUUUAGAAAGAACAAAAAUAUUUAAAGAAAAAAAUAUGUAUGAUUUAUAACCAGUUCCUUCAUACCUUUACAAAAAUCUUUUAAAAAUUUAGAUAUUUAUAGCAGUUGAAUAAUUUCAUCAUUUCAGACAAUGACUAAUGCACCACGAUGGUCCAGAGAUUUAACAAAGAUAAUGAAUCCCUCAACAGAACAUGAUUGGAGAUUACUGGCCCAACGUCUUGGUUACGGUAACGAUGACAUCAGAGCAUGGGCAUCACAACAUGAUCCUUGUAUGGCUGUUCUCAGUGAAUGGUAUGCUACACACAAAACAAGGGAAGCAAACUAUGCUGUCUUAACAGCACUACAGGAAAUGAACAGAAUGGAUGGUGCUGCUAUUGUAGAGAAUGCUAUGAAAGCUGUUGGUAAGAGAAGUUAUUCAUACUAGUUUCACAAUAUAGGGUACUGCCUUAAUAGAAUAAGUUGUAAAGGCAGGAGGUAUGUUAAUUCAUUUUUUCAUUAAAUAAUAAAAAAGGGCACCUACUUUGAUUCAACUGUAUCUCAAAUAGUGUCGGGCAGCCAAACAAAGUUCUGCAUUAAAAAUCAUUUUUUUUUCUUUCAGUUGAUGUUGUAGAAGAUGAAGAAGUAGAGUACACCUCCCCUCCUGCUGUGUUCCUUAGUUACCAGUGGGGUCAUCAGGAGGAGGUCAAACUAAUCCGUAACCACCUACAAAUGGCAGGAUAUGAAUGUUGGAUGGACAUUGGUCAAAUGGGAGGCGGAGAUAAAUUAUUUGAGAAAAUUGACAACGGCAUCAGAGGAGCAAAAGUCAUCAUUUGUUGUGUGUCAGAAAAAUAUGCCAAGUCUCCAAAUUGUAAUAGAGAGGUAAUUAAUAGACAGGUGUUAAUUCAUUUGUUCAUACAAUUAUUUAAUUAUCGCAUAAAAAACCAAUAGAGCCCAUGGCUGUACCAGAAUUGAAUACAGAAGAUGCAUUAAAAUGCACUUAUUUUUUACCAAAACCACCCAUGAUAUAAAAUUCUAUAAAAAUGCAACCAUCUACAAUUAAUAAAUUUGAGUGCUUUGCUUCUCUCCCCUUUCUCCCUGCCGGCCUCAGAACACAAUUAUUCUUCCCCUUGGCUACAAUGCAUUUUUUAGUUAAAGUCAAAUUGAAUUAAAAAAUUUGCAUCGCUACAAACAUGAAAUAAAUUCAACUGCUUAUAGACCAUUAUUAUUCUAAUAAAAUAUGCUUGUCCCAGGACAAUCCAUCAGUGCUUUUUCUUUUGAGGGCCCUAUUAGCAUGCCAAUAGUAGGAUUUAAAUCUUGAAUAAAUGACGAAGGCUGAUUUCUACACUACUUUCAUUUUGGCCAAAUCACUAAUUUCACUUUCAACAAUAAUUUUUGUCCACAUGUUUUACUUAUUUCAAUAUAUAUGCAACUGAUAGGACCACUUAAAUAGUAAACAUUUCAAAGAAAACAGUAGACAGAUUACUUGGGAAGAAAUACCCCAUAUAAUAAUUGGGAACUAUAUUCCUAGACCACGAACAUAGGGAAUUAAUUGUGAUCUGAGACCUAUUAGACCUCAAAAAAUUAAAGUAUCCAUAUGAAACUUUACAGUUACUUACCAUUAUAUCUUAGUAGUAUAAAUGCCAAAUUUCAUUACAUUCUGACAAAUAAUAAAAAAGUUUGGAAUGUUUUUAUAUUAGUAUAUAUGUCUGUGGAAUAUGCUAUUUGCAAAGUUUUAAGAAUUCAGUCAAAAUUUUAUUCAGAAAAUAUUUUUUUGGUAUUGUUUUCCCAAAAUAAGCCUUGAUCCAGUUAACAUAACUUGUAUUUAGUUGAAAUAAGACAACUGCUAAAGCAAACUGCCACUUAUAUGCCAUUAUUUUUCAUAUCUCUAUCUCUAUGUUUAUUAAAUCAGAAUUGGUCAGUAUGAUAAAGGUACAGACAUAAAAAGCAUAAUUGUGGAUGAAUAAACACUGAAAAAUUGAUUUAUUCCCUUCAUUCUAUCCCACCUAUUGGUUAUUUACUUCUAAACAACUAAAAGUAAUUUAGACUUGACACUUUUAAAUUUUUUAAAACAUUUUAUUUUUCAUUAUUUUUAAAUGUCUUUGUAUGUCAGGUUAUGUCCCAGAAUCAACUCAGUUUUGUAAAACCUUAUUAAAUUGCAUUUAUAAGGUACCCUCAUGAUUUAAUGAAGUAAUGUGGUACAUUCUCACAAUUUUAUUCCUUUAAUUUUCAUUAGAAAUCAUGUAAACUUUAAAAAAUGCCAAUAUCUGCCUCAUAUGCACAAAUAUGGUAAAAAUGUCUUACUUUGAUAGACUUUGUGUAAUUUCUGUUUUCUUUCUUGAAAAGUAAUCAGACAAAGAUCAUGUUGUUACCUGUUAGACCCUUUAUUUACAAUAAUUGUGUUUUGUCCAAUCCCAUCUCCUAUAUCAAGACCAUUUUUACAGCCUCUAAUCAUAAUUCAUAAUUUGUUUCAGGUAAAUUUAUCAGUAAACCUGGGUAAACCAAUGAUACCACUGUUGAUGGAGAAAAUGGCUUGGCCACCAAAGGGAUCUAUGGGGCCUAUCUUCAGCGAGUAUCUUUUUGUCAGGUUUUUCCAGAGAGCUGGAGAAGAGACUGAUGAUAACAGAAUUUGGCCUGUUGCCAAGUUCCAAGAAAUGUUGAUGCAGCUGAAUUGUUAUGGUAUUCUGCCUGAUGAAACAUUGAUUGAUGACAGUAAGUUUAAUUCAUUACAAGAACUAUACAAUAAAAUAAAACAUUUCUCACUUUUCCAAAGAAAUUGUAAAACAAAAAUGCAGUGUAAAGACAAAUCAGAAAAUGAAAUUUCCAUGCAAGUAAACAAAUGUACUUUAUUUAAGUAUUGCCUAUUUGUUUGAUUUCUUUUGAUGUUUUAUGUUUAAACAUCAUUUGAGAAUAAAAGAUUGUUAUUUGAGUUGUUGAUGAAUUCACACUUGAUUUUUUUUUCCAUAAAAUAUGAAACUUUUAAAAUGUAAUUAUAAGGUAAUAUUACAAUCUGAUUUAUGGAAAUGUUUGGUUUUGUAUGUAAUCAUAUUUUAUAUCACUUUUGUGUAUAUGAAAAUGGAAUCAAAGGUUUUGAAAUUUAGCAAACCCCUUUCCUUUUUAUAGUCAAAGAAAAAAUUAUUGGUAAUAAUGACCGGAGUCAUUUAUGGUACAGUCCAUUUCAAAGUUAUAAAGAAGUGACACACUGAAUGUUUUUAUACCCCAAAUUUUUCUUAAAUUCAGUUAUUUUGUAUUAACAGUGUACAAAAAAUGGUGGAUUCCAGUACAGGAAGUAAUACUGAUAGACAAAAAUAAAAAGAAACAAAGUCAGAGUGAGGCCAAACAGAAAGAAAUCAAAGACGAGGUACUAUAGCAAGUGUUUUUAUAUGCAUUUUAACCACAUAAUUUUAUCCCUUGAAUUUUAAGUCUGUUCAAAAUAAUUGAACAGCCAUCUCAUAAGUAAUACUGGAGGGUGGUAAUGGGGGUACCUUCAUGACAAAUAAGGGUAAAGUUCUUGCCAAAUGACGUUAACGGUAGUUUUUGGUGCAUGAUGAUAAGAUAUGCACUUUCUUUUUCACUUUGAUUUUGACGAAUCAUGUUAAAUUUUUUCCAAAAACAAUUAAAUGGUAAAUAUUUGAGACCUCUGACGAAUCACGAUAAGGAUAUUUUGACGAAUCAAUGUAAAAUUGUGAUCAAUUUGAUGCUAAUGGUAGCCAAAAAUUGCUGUUUGACCCCUGACGGUAAAGGGCAUUACUACCCUCAUACUGAUGUUUGACUUUUCUUGACCUUAGUACACAUACAUCAAGUUUACAAGGCUUCAAUGAGUACAAGAAACAGAUUUUAAGAUGCAUAUAGUAAAUAUUAUUACUGUUUUUUUUAUGGAAUGUAUAAUGUUUCCUGUGUUGUAAACCUAACCAUUAUGGAGCACCUCUUUGCAUCCUAAAUUUUAAAUGGUGGUUUCAAAUUGGAAAAGCUAUAUAUGCUAUACUACUUGAAAUAUAAUUGUACACAUUCUGAGUGAGUCAAAAACUCAGAAACUGCUUAUAAAGUCCAGGAAAGAUGGAAAUACUUAUAAUGGUGACUGGUCAUUGAUUGAAGUAAGGCUUAUUACUUUUUGGCUGACAAUUUUUCCAUUUGUUCAGUUAUUAGAAUCUUUGCCUUUCCAAAUGGAAUGCAUGGGGAAAAAACAUGUUUAACAGUAAACAUUAACAGUUUUUGUCAUCACAUUAUGAAUACUUGAUAAUACUGGAUGUUCAAGACAGGACAUUUUGAUUUGGCAAACAGUGCUUGUUUGUCAUAUCUUGUUCUGAAUGUAAUUUGCAACACAUGUAAAUGACAUUUACAAAUAUUUAUUUGUUGAAGCUGAACUAUGCCUUAUUUAUAAUUUUAGGACAAGAAGUCACCAGAUAUCUUUAUAUCCUACCAAUGGGGUAAACAGAAACAGAUUAUGGCCUUUUAUCAAAGGUUGACAGGAAUGGGUCUAAGUUGUUGGAUGGAUAUCUACCAAAUGGGUGGUGGAGACUCAUUGUAUGAGAAAAUAGAUUCUGGUGUGCGAGGGUGUAAAGUAGUUCUAACAUGCAUCACACAGAAGUAUUCACUCUCAGCGAACUGUCGUAGGGAAGUGAGUUUGGCUGAUGCUUUGAAGAAACCAAUUAUACCAUUGUUGUUAGAGAAAAUGGACUGGCCACCUUCUGGACCAAUGAGUAUGGUCUUUACUCAGCUCCUAUUUAUUAACUUUUAUCGUGACGAAGACGUACAAAUGACAUGGACUGGACCAAAAUUGGAUGAACUAAUGGAGAAAAUAGGAGAACAUAUGCCAAUGAUUACGCAAAGUGAGGAUAAAAAUGGAGAAAAACAAAUCACUAAGGAAGAAGAUGAUAAUAAAAAAUCUGAAAGCGCAGAACCAGAGUCGAAACCAGCAAAGGAAGAAGAUAAUAAUAAAAAAUCUGGAAAUACAGAAACAGAGUCAAAACCAGCAAACCAGAGUAUGUCUCCACGACCUGUCAGUUCCAGAAAUACUAGAGGGGCAGGUGGUCCACAACCAACAGAGAAUAAACCAUCUCCUGUAAAACAACCUAAACCUCUUGCUGCCACCUUCACAGUUGCUGCAUCUCCACCAGAGCCAGCCCAUCAAAAUAAACAGAAUGCUGCUCCAAAACAGGAAAAAGAACAAAAGAAGUCAAAAUCUUGUACAGUUUUGUAAUUUUUUUAGGAGCAGCUUUAAAUGAUACAGUUUUAACAUCACAUAGACUGGUACCUCAAAAUUAUUGUACAAUUGUUAUUCUGUAAAAUUUUAGUACUUAUACACUAAUAUGAUUAAAAAGUACUUUUCAGUACUAUAUUAUGUAGAAACAUUUUCAGCAUUUCAAAACUAUUGUACUUAAUAAGAUAGUGCAUAUUCAAAAGUAGCUAUGAAAGCAUUGAGACUGUUUUGUUAAUGACCUUCUUUAUAUAUAAAGCAAUUCUGAAGAUUGAUAAAGGCGAGCAUACUAUUUAUUUGUAUAAAUACUUAAUCUGUCAGGUUUUAUUUACAACCACCCAAGUGUCAUUGACAUGUUUGGGUCAAUCCGUCCAAAUAGGCAUUUUGAUUGCAAAUUAUGGGGUUAAUAAUUACUUGUUGAGACCAAUGGUAUAUCUUUACUCAAAGCAGAAUGCUUUUGGAUUUUUUUAAAAAUUUAAUAUACAUAUUAAUUUCAGGGAUUUUUUGGAGGGGAUUGAAGGGGGUAAUUUAUUUUAUAAUUUAUAAUAUAAAUACUUGGUUUGUAUUUAUUAUGUUAUUGAUAUUGACUUCUCAGAACAUUGUUGAUGGAUUGUCUGUGAUAUUUUUCUAGAAUAAAGCAUUAUCUGU